CCCAGCACCACCUCCGGAGCCAUGUGCGUCUCUGUGCCCGGGAUGUAGUCCCCUGAGGGGGUGACGCAAGGCAGAAAAGCCAACCGUCAACUCUGAUAGGCAAGAGCCUCGGCAGUGAGCACACCAGUCAAUUCCCGAAAUACCCCGAAUCUGUCUCUGUGAACUGGCUUCAAGUAGGGGGAGAGCCUCCAGCUCAAACUUGCCCGGGCUACAGAGCCCAGGCCCCUUGGUCAGACCUCGUGUUGUGCUUCCAGAAACUGUGCUCAGAGGCCCGGGAUGGCUGAGGCCACAGGCUGGGAGCAGAGCCACCCGGAAAAGGCUGGAUGAGAGGGGCCAUCGGGUUGGAGGCACACGGCAUGGCCGAAGUCACAGAGGGCCGCGCGGCUCCCGUCGCUGGACAGGAGCACAUUGUCAGCUGCCAGGCCACCCCAGAGAAGAAGAGGAACAGAAUCCUUCGGGUGUGGAGGUACUCCAGCCCUUCCAGGGCCUGGCCUAGGUAGUAAAGGGCCC